GGACUACUAGGGUUUCUAAUCCUGUUUGCUCCCCACGCUUUCGUGCAUGAGCGUCAGUGUUAUCCCAGGAGGCUGCCUUCGCCAUCGGUGUUCCUCCGCAUAUCUACGCAUUUCACUGCUACACGCGGAAUUCCACCUCCCUCUGACACACUCUAGCCCGGUAGUUAAAAAUGCAGUUCCAAAGUUAAGCUCUGGGAUUUCACAUCUUUCUUUCCGAACCGCCUGCGCACGCUUUACGCCCAGUAAUUCCGAUUAACGCUUGCACCCUACGUAUUACCGCGGCGGCUGGCAC
rnacentral:misc_RNA from 1 species